AGUGCAACAGAAGAAUCCAUUUGAGUAUAGGAACCCAUGUCCGGAAAUGCGUCACUACGCCACUACGGCCCUAAGACGCGCUAAAAUUUAUAAAAAACAUUAAUUACCUAAAUAGGAUCUGCUGCAUUUAUUUUUACCUUUUGUACAUGAUACCAUAACAGCAAUUGUUUAAAAUCAACGCUUAUCAAUGUCAAUUCUCAAUGUCAUGUUUAAAAAUUUUAUAGCUUACAAUUUUUAAACAUUUAUUGCUAAUGGAAAGCUUUACUAAUCAAGAAUUGGCGGAUAUGCAUUUAGCAUACGGAGCAACAAACUGCAAUGCACGAGCAGCAUCGCGGUUGUAUCAUGAACGUUAUCCCGAACGACAGCAUCCUGGAUACAAAAAGUUUAUUGCGGUUCAUCGGCGGCUCGCUGAGACAGGCAUGUUUAAGACCAAGAUGCAUGAUACUGGUGUUACUCGAACCGUAAGAACGGAAUUUGAAGAAGAAGAGGUGCUUCAGCGAGUUGCCGAUGAAUCAUCAAAUAGCACAUGUGACGUCGCUAAAAAUAUGAAUACGAGUAACGCUUCUGUCUGGCGGGUACUACACGAGCAACAACUCCAUCCUUGCCACUUUCAAGAAAGUUUAAGGUAUGACUGUCGAUUAUCAUCCUAGCCGAUUAUCAUCCUAGAGUUCAAUUUUCUCGAUGGCUUCUGGAUCACAUCAUUGCACAACCAAAUUUUUUACGAUAUGUUUUGUGGACCGAUGAAGCCUCUUUCACAAGAGACGGUAUUUUUAAUAGUAGGAAUAGCCAUGUUUGGGACGAAGAAAAUCCCUAUGCAAUUUUUCCAAGAAAACAUCAGAAUCGUUGGUCUGUCAACGUAUAUGGCAUUGUUGAUGAUUAUUUAAUUGGGCCAUACCUUCUACAGGAACGGUUAACAGGACCUAUUUAUCUGCGUUUCUUGGAGGAAGUUCUCCCAGAACUCCUUGAAAAUGUUCCACUAAACGUUAGACAGCAAAUGUGGUUUCAGCAUGAUGGAGCGCCGGCUCACUUUGCUGUACAAGUACGUGAGUAUUUGGCUCAGCGGUUUGGGCACCGUUGGAUUGCCAGAGGUGGAGCAGUUUCUUGGCCUCCUGAGUCACCCGAUUUAUCGCUCGAUUGACCGUCGCUCGAUUUUUUCUUGUGGGGACAUGUAAAGUUUUUAGUCUACGAAACUCCAGUAGAAUCAGAGCUAGACUUAAUUGGACGAAUAACAGCAGCAUUUGAAAUCAUUAAAAACGAGGAUCAAAUUUUUAGUGUAGUCCGCCGAAAUCAUGUGCGACGUUUAAAUCGGUGUAUUGAGGUUGGAGGAAGACAUUUUGAACAAUUGUUGUGACGGUAUCAUAUACAAAAGGGCCGUAGUAGCGUAGUGACACAUUUCCGGACAUGGGUUCCUAUAUUCAAAUGGAUUCUACUGUUGCACUGAAUAACCCCUAGAAGAUCCCAUAACAUGAAACACCCUGUAUAAUUAAAAUAUGAAAUAUCUAGAAGAUAUGUGAUGCAUUUUUCACUAGCGAUUAAACGCUAACCGUUGAAUGAAGAAGUCACGAAUUAAAAAACACAGUAAAAAACAAUUAUAAACAAAGUUAAAGACAUCUUACUUGAAAAUGGUAUGGUGGUUAAUUCUUAUGCUGACGAUACUGUGGGUGAAACUUGAGAAGAGGUGCGUGAAAAAACCAAAAAUUGGCUCUUUCAAACUUACAGUAAAUGUUGACAAAACCAACUACAUAGCUUUCUCCCUAACAAAUGCCAAUCGUCCUAAUUUUAAUAGCAUCCGGGUAAAAGGAUUUGAGAAUGAAAUAAGGGGUGUACAAUUUACUAAAUAUUUAGGAGUAAUCAUCAACCAGAACCUCGAAUGAAAACAACAUGUGUUAAGAUUAACUAAUAAUAUUAGAAAAUUAAUUCAGAAAUUUUAUAUGAUUAGGGAAAUUCUAAACGAACAACUUUUAAUAUGUGUUUAUAAAGCUCCUGUAGAGUCUUUACUGAGAUUCUUAUCUUAAGUUCUUACGAAAAUGCAUUAAAAUCUCUAAAGACAAUCCAAAAUUAUAUUCUUAAAAUUAUUUGUUUAUUUGUAGAAGGAUAAAGUGUUUCCAACAUACCUACUUUACAGUGAAAGAAUAUUGCCAAUUCAAUUUUUAUAUAUUUUAAGUGUUUGUUCUUUUAUAUACGAAAACCCUGAAAUAGGUGUACAUGUUAGUCAUUCUUACUCUACCAGGUUUAAUGUUGAAGGAAACUUACAGAUUUCCAACAGUACUUCGAACCUAAACCUUAGAUCAUUUCACUACCUUAGUGUAAAAAUAGGGUAAAGCAAGGAGAGAUGGCACAGCAGGAGAGAUGGAUCAUUAGCAUAUUUUACAUACUGUGGCAACAAUGGCCAAUUUGAUAAAGUAUACGCACCGACAUUCGACAUCCACAGUUUCUUAGUCCAUGUGCUCCAUGAUUUAUCGUUGUAUUUAGUAGUUACAAGUGAUCAUUGUUUUCAAACAACCAAACAAUUUGUUUGGUUGUUUCAGUUGAAACAAUUAAACAAAUUGUUUAAAAAAAAACAAUUUUGCAAGGUGUAUUUUGGUCACUGAACAAAGCAUUUUCAGGUGAGUUUUAGCUGAAUAUUUUAUAAUGUAAUCAUCAAACGGGUUUUCUGGCGUAAACCUAACCUAAAAACAAUAGUCCAUAACGUUCCGUUUAAUAGAAAUAGUCUGGUCCAUCUCUCCAAUAAUUUUAGGAAAUUUGCGAGGAGAGAUGGACUAAUGUUUUAAUGUUACAGAAAGAUGCCUAACGAGUACACUCGAAAGAGAAACGUAGCAAGGGCUACUUGGAGCGCUGAUGGUUUACAUCUAGCUAUAAAUGCGGUAAUCAUCCAAUGUAAUGAGUUUAAAUAAAGCAGCUAGGUCUUAUAAUAUACCCAAAACCACAUUAAGACGCAUAAUAGCUACGAAUAACUUAGAGAAAACGGAACAGCUGGAGAAAAAGCUGUCCAAACAUAUUAAGAAACUACAAAAACACGGCUUUGCGCUUACAAGAACUGAGGUGACCAUAACGGCGUUUAAUCUUGUUGUUUUCGUUGCAGAAUUACUUAGAGUUAGGCAUAAAUUUUAAGGCCGGCAAAAGCUGGCAGAGAAUCAUCGCAGUCAAUUUCUACGAAGAAAUCCAGACAUUAGCGUGCGCAAAACAUCUUUGUAGCAAGGGUUAUAGGAUUGUCGAGAGAAACUAUGCGUAAAUACUUUGCAUUACUGCAGACGGUUCUUACCAAAAAUGGAUUAUUCAAUAAACCUGGCCACAUUUAUAAUACUGACAAGACUGGGCUCCAACUCAAUACCAGAGCCGAACAAGUGCUUUCAGCAACGGGAUCAAAAAGUGUACCAUCCAUUAUCUCUGGUGAAAAUGGCGAAACCAUUAGUGUUAUAGCUUGUUGCAAUGCAGAAGGGGUGUAUUUUCGCCCUUUUUGUAUUUUCAAGGGAAAGAACAAACAAAAUGAAUGGGCAGAAGGAAUGUCACCAGGAUCUGAAAUAUGCAUGUCUGAGAAGUCAGCCUACGUCAACUCAAAAAUAUUUCUUCAGUAGUUAACACAACAUUUUUUUCCGGGAAAGCCACCAGGAAAAGUUUUAGUGCUGUUGGAUGGGCACACUUCCCACGCUACAAACAUCGAUGCCUUAGAAUUUUCGACAAAAAAUGAAAUAAUUUUAUUUGGUCUACCUCUGCACUGCACCCAUUACCUUCCACCCCUUGGUCGAGCCUUUUUUAAGAGUCUCCAAGGAUUCUAUUAUGAAACAUGUCGACGCACAGUGAUGGCCCAUCCAAAUAAAAAGCUGAACCGGCUGCAAUUUGGUAAAAUCCUGGGAGAAUCUUGGGGCAAAGCCGCUACCGUGUGAAUAACGCAGAAUCGGCUUUCAAAGCAACAGGCAUAUCACCACUCAAUUCAGAGAUUAUACCGGACUACUACUUAGUGCAGCAAAUAAUAGACCCGGUUCAUCAGAAUACUGUGGAACAGAUUAAGCCAAUGCCAGUUUUCUCCUCAACCCCAACCAGGAUGCUCACAAAUUCACCGCAAUACUAACAACACAAAACCAGGUCCUCCAGCCAAGUCGAAAAUAACGCCUGGAAAAACUCUUGACCAGGUGUCUCCAGUACCCAAAUUUACGCCAGCUAUGAGAAAGGUCCCAACCAAUCUGGGAGGAGUUUUAUCUUCACCGGCGUACAUCAGAAAUAGAAAAGGGGCAGAAGAAAAGAAGCGUAAAGUGCCAGAGUCAACCAGAAAGUCAAAGAUACCAAAGAAGCCUAAACGGUUGAAAAUUCGUGAAAAAAACACAGUAUGCAAUGAAGAUUAUCGACAAACGAAGAAGAAGGACAACUGGAUCAAGUGCGUUCUCUGUUCAAGAUGGCUGCACGAUAGUGGCACGUCUUAUAGCAACGUUUGUCAAAAUUGUGGUCAGUGCUACAAAAAAAGUAUGUAAAGUAUGUUUUGUAAAACGUGUGCCGUCUCUCCUCGCUUUACCCUAUACAUUUUGCCGUUAACAGUAAGGAUAACAGGAAACAGAAAAGCUUAAUAAGAAAUGUAUCACUUUUAUAGCUCAUAAUUUCGUUAAUAAAGUUUUCAACAUUAUUCUGAAUCGUUUUUUGUUUAUUCAAAGUAAUAAAACUUCUUUUU